AUGUCUAUGAUCAAGCCAAGCUCUAUAGCCAUUAAUUCAGAGAUGACAGCCCUGUUCCUUUCCACUCAUACCCAUAUCACAUGUAUAUGUCCAUGCAAAUGCCCAAAUUCAGGCAUUUCUCAGCAUAGGUUUAACAGGCAGGCCAUUCUGGAAGUUGUCCUUAGCAGGUACACUUUUCCCUGCCCUUGCAAAAACCUUAACAUCUGCUUCAUUUCUCUCAGAAUUCUAAACUGUAUGGAAAUUGUGACUUAAACAGUCUAAUUGUGAGUAGAGGGGUCACCUAAAUAAUUAAAAUUAGAAAUUUCUUUUGCAUUGCUCUGUACGGAACACUGGAGUUCACUGGGUGUUUGGCAAGUACUGCACCACUGAGGCACAUCACCACACUUCUGUAAAAUCUAAGGACCUACGUCAGCACCUAUCAUGAGUUUGGAAAUAUGAGACAUACUGGAAAUAUAGGAGAUCACUACAAAUAAAAAAGAAGUUUGAGGAGAGGUGUAGUACAAAAACUAUGACAUUUAUAAGUUUCUGAUCCCCCAGAUCUGCUGCAGGCAGGAAAGAGAGCAGUGACCUAGAUCACUACAGUUGCACCCUGCUCCAAAACACAUCUGAGUCCGGGUCUCCCCAGAUCCCUUCCUCUGCACUGAUUGGUGGAAGUCGGACAGCAGCAGGAGGUUUACCAGAUGGCAUUGCGGACUAGCGGUGUCAGGGAGGAGACAGGGAUCUUUGGACACAGAACUAGCCUUGCCCCAGCAAGGGGCAAGUGAGACAGAGGAUGACUCACUGUCAGUCCAGGAGGACCUCAGAGUCUGACGGUAAACACAGAGGCUCAAACCCCCAUAGCUGCUUUUGACCACUUAUAAUUGUUCCCACCCGGGUUCCUCCCAAUUUCAGGGCUCCAAUCCCACAACAUCACCAUUGCCUGGCUUGAGGGUCUCCCAGGUUCUUUCCCAUGGAGGUCACAGUCAAUAGGAGCCACAAAACACGGUCUAGCAAGCAUUCUGCUGUCAGUAUUGUGCUCACAACACGCAAUUUACGCCAUGACACCGGAAGAGACCGC
rnacentral:lncRNA from 1 species